GACGAAGGGGGCUAGCGUUGUUCGGAAUUACUGGGCGUAAAGCGAGUGUAGGUGGUUGUCCAAGUUGGAUGUGAAAGCCUUGAGCUCAACUCAAGAAAUGCAUUCAGGACUGGGCGACUAGAGGACCGGAGAGGAUAGUGGAAUUCCCAGUGUAGUGGUGAAAUUCGUAGAUAUUCGCAAGAACACCAGUGGCGAAGGCGGCUCACUGGCCCGAUACUGACGCUGAGGCACGAAAGCGUGGGGAGCAAACAGG
rnacentral:rRNA from 1 species